AAAUUUAGAUCAUUUUUUCGGCACAUACCUUCGGAAUUCGAAUUAUCUUCAUUUCUAUGGAUAAUUUGGUAUAUUUGAAAAGUAAGGAAUGGAUUUUUUUUUGAAAAUGUGGAUAAAGAUCCUCUAGAGAUAUGAUAUUUGGUGGAAAAAGAGUCAGACUCGUGGAAGUCCGCGCAACUUGAGCUUCACAAUGAAACUCAUGGUUCAUUCAAUUUGGAAAAUCAUAAUCGAGUGCGGCAUUUUACAUAAGACAACAAUUAUUCUGGAUAUCGUUGUUUUGUGAAUGGAUCUUAGAAAGAUAGCGACAAUUUUUCUGGCUUAGGAUGGUACUGUACAUCAUCAAAUUGAGAGACGCCAACCAUGGGAGCUGCCAAUCUCAGAAGAAGUCUAUCUCCAUUACAUGCAGAGGUGGAAGCUCUCCUCUGGGCGAUGAAGUGUAUGAUUGGUGCUGACAACUAAGAUGUAAUUUUUCUUACAAACUGUUCAGAUCUGGUGCAGAGGGUGUCUUUCCCAACCGAAUGGCCGGCUUUCUCUGCGUAUUUGGAAGAGUUGAAGAGCGACAAGGAUGAGUUCACAAGUUUUUCUCUAUCUUUAAUCUACCGUAGUGCUAAUGUUAAAGCGGAUACUUUCGCACAAAAAAUUCGUACCCAACCGCUUCAUAUUACAUAUGUAAACAGCAUUCUUCAGGAAUGGCUCGUUUGAGCCAUAAUUUAUUUUCGGAUGACAAAAUAAAAUAAAAUAAAAGUCUCAUCACCAAUAUUUCUAUUUAUGAAGUAUCACCCACAUCACUAUUCUUGUUAAUCUCAUGCUCUAAAGCCUCAACAAUAUUAAAAAUUCCUGUUCGUUUAACAUACUGUAACAUCGAAUUAGCGAUUGACUUUGUUAGUGUUUCUUGUCUCUUUUCUUUCUUAUUUUUUCUCCUCCCUCACUUUUUAUUUGUUUGGAAGACAUCUUACUGAAUAAAAAAUAAAU
rnacentral:sRNA from 1 species